GAUGAAGAACGUAGCGAAAUGCGAUAAGUAGUGUGAAUUGCAGAAUUCAGUGAAUCAUCGAAUCUUUGAACGCACAUUGCGCCCCUUGGUAUUCCAUGGGGCAUGCCUGUUCGAGCGUCAUUUGUACCUUCAAGCUCUGCUUGGUGUUGGGUGUUUGUCUCGCCUCUGCGUGUAGACUCGCCUUAAAACAAUUGGCAGCCGGCGUAUUGAUUUCGGAGCGCAGUACAUCUCGCGCUUUGCACUCAUAACGACGACGUCCAAAAGUACAUUUUUACACUCUUGACCUCGGAUCAGGUAGGGAUACCCGCUGAACUUUAGCAUAUCAAUAAGCGGAGGA
rnacentral:misc_RNA from 1 species